rnacentral:rRNA from 1 species
GAUUGAACGCUGGCGGCAUGCUUUACACAUGCAAGUCGAACGGCAGCACGGACUUCGGUCUGGUGGCGAGUGGCGAACGGGUGAGUAAUACAUCGGAACGUGCCUAGUAGUGGGGGAUAACUACUCGAAAGAGUGGCUAAUACCGCAUGAGAUCUACGGAUGAAAGCAGGGGACCUUCGGGCCUUGUGCUACUAGAGCGGCUGAUGGCAGAUUAGGUAGUUGGUGAGGUAAUGGCCCACCAAGGCGAGGAUCGGUAGCUGGUCUGAGAGGAUGAUCAGCCACACUGGGAUUGAGAACGGCCCAGACUCCUACGGGAGGCAGCAGNGAGGAAUAUUGCACAAUGGGGGAAACCCUGAUGCAGCAACGCCGCGUGGGUGAAGAAGGCUUUCGAGUUGUAAAACCCUUUACUGUGGGAUGAGACAAAGGACAGUACCACAGCAAAAAGUCUCGGCUAACUACGUGCCAGCAGCCGCGGUGAGACGUAGGAGGCAAGCGUUAUCCGGAUUUACUGGGCGUAAAGGGCAAGUAGGCGGUUGUUCAAGUUGGGCGUGACAGAUCUCGGCUUAACUGAGAGAGGUCGUCCAAUACUGAGCGACUAGAGGGCAGGAGAGGAAAGUGGAACUCCCGAUGUAGCGGUGGAAUGCUCAGAUAUCGGGAAGAACACCAGUGGCGAAGGCGGCUUUCUGGCCUGUACCUGACGCUGAGAGGCGAAAGCUAGGGGAGCGAACGGGCUUAGAUACCCCGGUAGUCCUAGCUGUAAACGUUGGAUACUAGGUAAUGGUGGUCAAGGCCAUCAGUGCCGAAGCAAACGCGUUAAGUAUCCCGCCUGGGGACUACGACCGCAAGGUUAAAACUCAAAGGAAUUGACGGGGACCCGCACAAGCAGCGGAGCGUGUGGUUUAAUUCGAUGCUACACGAAGAACCUUACCUGGGCUUGACAUGUACGUCGUAGGGGACCGAAAGGCGACCGAUCCUUCGGGAAGCGUACACAGGUGCUGCAUGGCUGUCGUCAGCUCGUGCCGUGAGGUGUUCGGUUAAGUCCGACAACGAGCGCAACCCUUGUUGCCAGUUAUACUUUACUGGCGAGACUGCUGGCAUAUAACCAGAGGAAGGUGGGGAUGACGUCAAGUCAGUAUGGCCUUUAUGUCCAGGGCUACACACACGCUACAAUGGCCGGUACAGAGGGUAGCCAAGCCGCGAGGCGGAGCCAAUCCCGUAAAGCCGGUCUCAGUUCGGAUUGCAGGCUGCAACUCGCCUGCAUGAAGUCGGAGUUGCUAGUAACCGCGCGUCAGCUAUAGUGCGGUGAAUACGUUCCCGGGGAU